rnacentral:rRNA from 1 species
CAGGAUUCCCCUAGUAACGGCGAGUGAAGCGGGAUGAGCUCAAAUUUAAAAUCUGGUGUCCUUUGGGCAUCCGAGUUGUAGUCUAGAGAAGCAUUUUCCGUGUCGGACCAUGUACAAGUCUCCUGGAACGGAGCGUCAUAGAGGGUGAGAAUCCCGUUCUUGACAUGGACCCCCGAUGCUCUGUGAUGUGCUCUCAAAGAGUCGAGUUGUUUGGGAUUGCAGCUCAAAAUGGGAGGUAAAUUCCUUCUAAAGCUAAAUAUUGGCGAGAGACCGAUAGCGAACAAGUACCGUGAGGGAAAGAUGAAAAGCACUUUGGAAAGAGAGUUAAACAGUACGUGAAAUUGUUAAAAGGGAAACGAUUGAAGUCAGUCGCGUCUGCUUGGACUCAGCCUUACUUCGGUUUGGUGCAUUUCCUUGUAGACGGGCCAGCGUCAAUGUUAUCCGCUGGAAAAAGGUGUAGGGAAUGUGGCUCUUUCGGGAGUGUUAUAGCCCUAUAUCAUAUGCAGUGGGUGAUAUUGAGUGUAACAGCACGCUUUUGUGGUGCUUGUGUUGGCAUAAUGGCUUUAAACGACCCGUCUUGAAACACGGACCAAGGAGUCUAACAUGUCUGCGAGUGUUUGGGUGGUAAACCCGAGCGCGGAAUGAAAGUGAUAGCUGGGAAUCUCGCAAGAGAGGCACCGGCGCCCCGAGCUGAACUUCUGUGACGCAUCGGAGGUAGAGCAUAUAUGUUGGGACCCGAAAGAUGGUGAACUAUGCCUGAAUAGGGCGAAGCCAGAGGAAACUCUGGUGGAGGCUCGUAGCGAUUCUGACGUGCAAAUCGAUCGUCAAAUUUGGGUAUAGGGGCGAAAGACUAAUCGAACCAUCUAGUAGCUGGUUCCUGCCGAU